UUCCUUUCUUUUCAUUAUCUCUGUUUAACAACAUGGUGAAAAACAACAAGCAUAAGAGCAAAAAUAUCAAUUUGGCCCAUUCAUGGAAAAAUAUGUACACCUUUUGGCCCUACAAACAAAGUUAUAAUAAUUUAGUUAGGUGCAAGUUAUUCCCCACUGUAGCCUGCACUUAUCAAGGGCUCUUGUCACUUACCCUUUUCAUCUCUCACAGCUGCUUUUUGGGCUUUGUGCACCUUCUUGUGAAAAAGAAUGGUAAAUACAACUUGUGAAACAUUCCCUGCAUAAAAAACUGAAAUCUUUAUACUAGUUAGGUUGCACGUAGACAGAGCUUAGGAUCACGAAUUGUCUGAUGCAUCAGUCACUUGGAUGAAUAAUUAUAAUUGUUGGGAUGGGCGUGGCGGUGCAGCAACUGCAAUGAAGAAUUUCCAAAUGUGAGAUUCUGAAGGAUAAUCAACUUUCAGAUAUUCGAGUAGUAUAAACAAAGGUCAAGCAACUUGGUAAUUUAAACAAUAUAAGAGAAGUCAAAUCAAAUAAAUAAGCACUUUGAUUGUAUCUUGAACAUGUAAAAACGCCAUAUGAGGGAAGAAACAUAGAUGGUAACUACCUCCCCCACUUCCCAACGGAGAAAAUGAAAGAAUAUUCAACUUGCAUUAUAACAAAUUUUCCAUUAACUAACAUUACUUGUGAUCAUACUAAAAGAAUAGUCUCACAGAAAGGUAGUAGAUGAAGCUCCUGCUUCAAAAAUGUUCCCCAUUAACCUAACAGUUGUAAGAUCACAUAUUUCUAGGGAAACAUAGAAAAAUCAUCACAGAAAUUGGAGUUCAUGCUAGUUUACACUGGUUUUUGUAUAUUAUACUUCCGUUAAAAAAAGAAAUCAGGGGACACACAUGUACACGCUGAAAGUAUCAAAGCCCAUCAGAAAAGGUUUACUACUCAAUGUGUAUACUGUAUAGUACAUUAUUGAUACCAGCAUACCAGAAUAUCUAGUGCUAGACCUCCAAAAGGCCUUCCAGAAGCUGGUGAUCCUCUCUCCAAAGUAUUUCAUCAACUGUUUUCCCAGGGGAGCAUAAAUGUGUUUACAUCAAAAUACCCU
rnacentral:lncRNA from 1 species